rnacentral:rRNA from 1 species
AUUGAACGCUGGCGGCAUGCUUUACACAUGCAAGUCGAACGGUAACAGGCCUUCGGGUGCUGACGAGUGGCGAACGGGUGAGUAAUGCAUCGGAACGUGCCCAGAGGUGGGGGAUAACGCGGCGAAAGCUGUGCUAAUACCGCAUGUGAUCUGAGGAUGAAAGCGGGGGACCAAGCAGCAAUGUUUGGCCUCGCGCCUCUGGAGCGGCCGAUGUCAGAUUAGGUAGUUGGUGGGGUAAAGGCCUGCCAAGCCGACGAUCUGUAGCUGGUCUGAGAGGACGACCAGCCACACUGGGACUGAGACACGGCCCAGACUCCUACGGGAGGCAGCAGUGGGGAAUUUUGGACAAUGGGCGCAAGCCUGAUCCAGCAAUGCCGCGUGCGGGAAGAAGGCCUUCGGGUUGUAAACCGCUUUUGUACGGAACGAAAAGGCUCUGGCUAAUACCUGGGGCUGAUGACGGUACCGUAAGAAUAAGCACCGGCUAACUACGUG